GGGGGGCUGCGGGGCGGCGGCGCGGGGCGGCGGCGGGGCGGGGGCCGGGGGGCGAGGGCCCCGCCGAGCGGGAGGGGGACGCUGGGGCGGGCUCCAUGGCAACCGGAUGUGAGCCGCGGCCGCCUCGCUGGUGCGGCGGAAGGGCGCGCCUCGGCGGUAACGCGGAAGAGCGGCGCAGCGGCGGCGGGACCGGCCGUGCCGGGCCGUGCCGAACCGGGCCGGGCCGGGGUCGCCUCGGCCUCCCCGCUGCAGAUGGCGGCGGCGGAGACGCUGGUGCGCGGCCUGGCGCGGCUGCUGCAGGACGCGGGGGACCUCGUCCUGGACGGCUCCAGCACCCUGACGCUGCUCACCUCCACCCUGCAGCACCUCACGCAGGUCUUCGAACAGCACCUGGGCUCCCGCAACCAGAACCGGGGCUUCGUGGCGCUGCCCUCGCACCCCGCCGAGACAGCCGCCAUCCUCCAGGCGCAAUUCCUCUUCGACGUCCUGCAGAAGACUCACUCUCUGAAGCUUGUUCAUGUUCCAAACUGUGUUUUGCAAUCUGCUGUGAAGAUCUUCCCCUUCAAGUCCCUCCGGCAUCUGGAAUUGAGGUCUGUCCCUCCACACUGCCUCCGGGGACUGCGAUUUGUCUAUUCUCAGCUGGAAUCUCUAACCUGCUGCAAAUGUAUCAGUACACUGGAGGAAAUAAUUUCAGCAUGUGGUGGAGAUCUGAGCUGUGCUCUCCCAUGGUUGGAACUGCAGACUGUGAACUUCAGCUAUAACUCAAUCACUGCCUUGGAUGACUCACUGCAAUUAUUGAAUGCUCUGAGGGUCUUGGAUUUGAGUCACAACAAGAUCCAGGAUUGUGAGCACUAUUUAACGACCCUUACAGAGCUAGAAUACCUCAAUCUGGCAUACAACUUCCUGUCCAAGGUGCCAAACCUUGGCAUCUUCAGCCGAUCCAAGCUGGUGACUCUGAUCCUGCGCAACAAUGAGCUCGACAGCAUUAAUGGGGUGGAACAGCUUGUGAAUCUGCAGCACCUGGAUGUGGCCUAUAACCUGCUGCUGGAACAUGCCCAGCUGGCACCAUUGUCCACUCUGCACUAUUUAAAAAAACUGCAUUUGGAGGGGAACCCAAUAUGGUUCCAUCAGAAUCACCGAUCUGCAGCCCUUGUCCAUGUGUCUCCCAGGGCAGCCUUCUCCAAUUUCUUCUUGGAUGGGGAGCCACUCUCGUCCUCAGACCUAAUGCACCUUCCAAGACUUGUGCAAAGUGUAUCCCAGUCCAUCCACACUUCUACCUCAGAGAAGACUGCACUGGACCGCAGUGCACUGGAGAGCUCCUGUGCUGCAGACUUCAGUGACAGCCAGUCCCCGUCAGAGAAUGUGGCCGUCAGGGUCCCUCGAAAGAAAAGCAAGGGAAAAGUCAAAGUGCGCAGAGCAAGUAUUUCGGAGCCAAGUGACACAGAACACGAGCCCCAGGUGUUACCCCUCUCUGCUGGUCUGGUCCUUGAGCAUCAGAAGGAGAUGAAGCGCUUGGCCAGCUUCAGAGAUCGCUUUGGUGCUGACUGGCUGCAGUACAAGAGACACCUGGAGGAGCAUGACCAAGUACCCGUCAUGUCCCGCAGCCGUUCUGCAGAUGAGAUCACAGGCAGACCUGCUGCAAUGGACUUGCAGAGCGAGAGCUCUGACCCAGAGCAAGGAAAGCCCCAAGUAUCCCAGGAAGAAGGAUCCUCUCCUCCUUUGGAUGACACUGCAAAGGAGGAAGAGCCUGAAGUACAGCUGGAUGAGCCUAUGGAAGGAGAAGAGAGAGGAGAAGAGGAGGCAGAUGAGCUAAUGCUUGGAGAGGAAGAAGAGGAGAAGGUAGAAGUGGACCUGUGCCAGCCAGUGCUGGUGAGCCAAAUAGAAGGUGAAGGGGACCCAGAGCCAGACUGGAUCUUCCUGCGAGUCACAGCUAAGCAUGUGAUUGAGGUGGAACUGAAGGCUGCCAGAGUCCUCCACAAGCUGGAGCUGAAAUGCCUGAAGAGUGUGGAGACCUCAGAGUUAACCUGGAAGAGGAUGGACCUGGAGCGAGUUUUCCCUGUCCUCACGUUGCACUUCAGCUACAUCCGCAAGGACCGGCAGAAGCGCAGAUACGUGGUGCUUGACGACUGCCCGGAGCAGUGUCUGCAGCAUAUCCUUGAAGUGUUGUCCCCAGCUGUUGAGGAGAAUCAGCGAAAUCAGGACCAAGAGAAGGGAUCCAUGAAGCUCCAGUGCCUGAAAUGCAAGCAGGAGUUUUCACAGUCCCUGCCCCCUUGGCAUCAAGGUUCCUAUUCUUCAGAGCUUGGAGACACCAAAAUCCUGGAGACUCUAGUUGCCCCAGAUCAAGGUCCUGCAGCAGCUGGUGAGCCCAUAGCCUGUCCCAGUUGUUCCAGUGACCAUGUGGUCAUUCUGCCUUCAGAGGAGUGCUCCAGCACACCUCUGCCGCCUGGUGCCGACAACACGAGUGAGGACCUGUCAGACUCUGUGCUGGAGGGAGGCAGCCAGCAGGAGGGCCCAGAGGAAACAUCUGUCCUGGCCAGUGAAAGCAGGAAGUUCUACAUUGGUGGGGAGGACAGCUCAGAGAUAGACACCAGCAACAGCGCCAGGAGCCCGGAGCUGAGCGCUGAGCCUGAGCCUGGCAGCACUCUUCAUCCCACCUGCCAUGGAUCAGAGGGUGGCUGUGGGAAGGAGCAGGGCGUGAAGAGCCAGCACUUGUCCCUCAGCCACCCAGACACCAACGGGGGCAGCCUGGUGGGAAGCUGCCGUUACAGCGUGUCUCGGGGGCCCACUCCUUCCCCGCUCUCUGUGAACUCUGAGUCCGAGGAAACAUGGAAUCUCAGUCCUUCUGUAAACAGCGUCCUGAACACGAGGGAUUUCCGGUCAGUGGAUCAUCGCCUGAAGCUGUACCUGGACAUGGAAGUUUUUGAGGAAAAUGCUGAGGAGUUCCAGUGCUUCCUCAAGGUGGCCAUGGUGAAGUUUGGCCGGCCAGGAGAGUUCCUCUCAAUCCUGGUUGCUUCUGAUCUCAAGAUUUAUGUGCUGGAAGUCACUGGAGCUAUCAGGGGACAACCUGCAGACUGGCUGAAGAAGAAUGACUCUCACUACCUGUCUGAUAUUUCUCAUCUGGAAGUGGGACUCUGCCACCAGACCUUGCGAAUGGAGUUUGAGAACCCAAAAACUUCCUACAAUCUGCUGAUCCGGAACCAAAGCUGCUGUGACCAGUUCCUGCAGACCCUGACAGAUCUCAUGCAAGAACUGCCUGCUAAGCACAGGAGUAAGGUGAAGGAAAUCCCCACUGUGGAAAUGAAUCCCCAACAUUGGCUAUGGCCUCUGCUGGACUGCAAGACCACAGAUUCUGCAGCUGCAGAUGAUGCUUGUUUCUUCUACCUGCUGGCAUACCUGAUCCAAGGGGCAUCUGCUUUUCCUGUGACCCUGCUGAGUACCCGAAGCAUGCUCUUUCUGCUGGAGGAGAAUCACCAGUGGCAGGUGCAGCCCUCCUUGGAUGAAGACCAUGAGGCAGAAAUGCCUCCUAGGAGCAACAUACAGUUGAAGGAGAAGCAGCCAAUCACCAGCAUUAGCAAUAUCAUAACCUAUCGCCUCUGUCCUUGUGACAUCAAGCUGAUGCUUUACGAUGAGGUACUGAAGCUAGAGAGCACUUGGCACAUCCGCACAGAGUGCCCUGAGCUCCUGGUAGAGCUGGUGGAGUGGAUCCGUGGGCCCUGGGAGGAGAUGUUCUCAAUUGAGCUCCGGAAGGCUGUCUAUGAGGCACUGGAGUGAGCCUGGUAGCUGGAGCAGGCAGAACUUGCAGUCAAGUGCUGCUGUGCCAGCAGUGGUCCACAAGUGUCUCCCACUCCCAUCUGACCUUGCUGUCCUGUGGCCUCUGCUUUCCACUCUACUCUUGCCCCUGGCCCCUUCUGUGCUGUAAUAUCUUUCUAAGGGCUUCCAUACUAGCUUUGCUGCUGCCUCCAGGAUUCCCUAACAUCUCACUGGAUUCAGGCCAUUCUCCCUGUCCUGUUCAGGGUGGGUGUGAAUAGGCUGUUAGGCUAAUCUUCUUCACCUUCCCGGCUUCCAAGCAGCAAAAAAGGAACAAGUUUUAAACAGGAUUAGACUGACACCAGGUACAGGUUGUGGUGUUCUCCUUUGACAGUUGCCCUCAGGUGGGCAUCCUGUGGCCUUUCAGCCCCAGCACGCUGCUUACUGGCUGCACAGGCCCCAAGAGGCUUGCCUCUCUCAGGAGCUGUUGGUGUGGCUGUGGAGGUGGGAGUGUCUGCCUAUAGGUUCUUUCCCAAAGGGAGCUUUACCUUGUCUCAACUUCUCCUACAGAGUUAAAUGUGGCUCAAAAAAUGCUGCUGCCUGGCCAGGGCUUUGCUAAUUUCAUAGUCUCUGCCCAGGCCCUGUGAAGAGCAAAGACAGAACUGUGUGUGAUGUUUUGAUGCAGUUGAAGCUCCCUGUGGGGGUGGGCAAAAGUGGACCUGUUACAUUAGGUGCUGAUAGGUGGGAUCUGAUACCCUAAGUAGGGACCUUUACUGAUGGUAGCUUUUCCCAGAACAGCAUCUCUGUUUUCCUAUGAAUGUUCAGUCCACAGCUUCGGGGCAAGUUUUCUGUCUGUUCAAUCCUUAGUGACAAACCUGUAUUUUAUGUCAAUGUGAUCUUGAUUUUUAUAAAGACCUGCAUAAAGACA